rnacentral:tRNA from 1 species
GCGUCGAUGGUGUAACGGUUAGCAUACGCGCCUUCCAAGCACGUGUUCCGGGUUCGAUUCCCGGUCGACGCA